rnacentral:rRNA from 1 species
AGCGCAGGCGGUGCGGCAAGUCUGAUGUGAAAGCCCGGGGCUCAACCCCGGUACUGCAUUGGAAACUGUCGUACUAGAGUGUCGGAGGGGUAAGCGGAAUUCCUAGUGUAGCGGUGAAAUGCGUAGAUAUUAGGAGGAACACCAGUGGCGAAGGCGGCUUACUGGACGAUAACUGACUCUGAGGCUCGAAAGCGUGGGGAGCAAACA